CAAAUAGCGCUCCUCCCCACCCCGCCUCAGUUCUCCCCUUCGACCGCCCCUCCCCACCUCCGAAAUCUAGGUCGCGGCGGCCGCUCCGGCCGCACGCCCGACUCCCUGCCGCCGGCAUCCCUUCUCCCCUCCCCCUUCCACCGCACGUAGAGUCCCGCCCGACUCCCUGCCGCCGGCGCACUUCCACGACCUCCUCGCCGCCCUCAGCCCGGCCAUCAACGCCCUCUUCUUCGCCCCCGGUGCCGCCACCUCCUCGGGAUGCAAACUGCCUCAGCUUCUGCAGGGGGUUCAAUGCCUGCUGCACGCAAGCCCGGGCCUCGCUGCUGCCGGCUCAGCUCCUCCGCGUGUCCAUCGCAGUCUGCGCCGUCACGGGGGCGCCCUGCGGUAUGAGGUUCCAGCCCGACGAGGACGGCGGGGACAUGAAGUCUGUGGGCGAGCUCGCGCCGGGGGAGAUCGUCGUGUUGCUCUCGAUGUGAUGGGGCAUGGUCUGGAGCGGUGCGCGGGGCGCCCUGAGGGUUUCUGAAGGGGUGAAAAGGCUGCUCCCGGACGUCUCGCAACUGGUGCUGUCGGCACCCUCGGGGAUGACGGGGAGUCUAGGGAUGGGAGGUUUAGAGUGUUACUGGGAAGGGGGUGACGGUCACGUCAUGGGUGAUCUCCACUGUCCCCGGGCUUGGCAGCGGCCUCUCGCAUUAUGUGCAGGACAUGUUGCCGUCCUGCGAGGUUGAUGCAGUGAAGGUAAUCCAAUCGUAUUUCAGAGUAGUUUGUUAUCAUAAAAUAUUGAACAACUUUCUUUGUUAACUCAUAUAAUGGAUCUUAGAUUAGUGCAAUUUGAUGUGCCAUCACCAUUGUUUCCUUAGUUCAUAGAGGUCGUCGCAGUGUGAUCAAUUUUGGUAAUCCCUUGUGCAUCUACUUGAUUCUAAUUCCUUGCUAAGAAAGCCAUAUUAUUCUUUUUUGCAUUUGAUUGUUUAGAACGAAUAAACGAUGUUUUUCCCUGUAAGAAUGUUUCUUAAUUUUGUUUCUGCUAGAGCACAACCUAUUUAGAGCAUCAAUGGAGAAACCAUCAAAACAGAUCAAAGAACAAUUCUGUUCAGGUUAGGAUUGUUCCAGUUACUGGGUUAGAGUUUCAGAGUUUUUCACUUGAACACGAUUUUUUCUGUUUAAUUAUACAAUGAAACAAGCCUUGUGCUAUGAUGGAGAGCUGAAGAUGAGAUGCUUCUGUAGCUGCUAUAAAUUAAAUAGAUGUAUUUAGAGCAAUUGUAGAGUGUAGACAAUGACAUUUCCAUGUAUCUCUUUCCAAGUUAAGGGAUUUUGACAUAGAAUUGACUUAACUCUAAGAAGUGCGUAUAUUGAAAAUAAUAAUGUGUGGAUGAUCUACAAUUAGUAAAUAGUGUAAGCCUGCUGAGCUGCAUGUGUUCUAUGGGAAUCUGCCGCUCCAUGCGCUGGUCUGUGCCGGUGCGACAUGUGCCCCACUGUGGGGUUUACUUUGACCGUUGUUGCUGCGUCGGUUGGGCGUAUGUGCUGAGGUUGCGGUCAUAUCUCACAUGAACUCCGCCGCUCACUCCUCAUCCCCUACUAGGGCUCAUAGCCCCCGCCCAUCUCUUGCCCCCACCGUACCUCCGUUCCGCCCUCCAUCCCGAAUCACCAGCCAACCUAGGUUGUGCCGCUGUCCAUCGUCGACUUCAUUGGUUCCAAGCGGGGAAUGGAGGGGACUUAAAGGGAGGCUUCUAUGGAUGAGCGGCAGGAGGCCACCCACCUCCAUGUUGGUCCCUACAAGACCCAUAAUCAGAGGUGGUGGGAUGGCGUUGCGCUGGCCCGUACCGCUGUCAUUCAUGAUGGGGCAAGAAAUUAUCGUGUUUGCUUGGGGGGUUGGGGGUUUGGGGAUUAGAGGCAGGGAAUGGGAGUUGGAGAUGUAGGGACUUUUUAAUCCAUUGAUUGUUUGGGUGGAGUGGAGUUAAGUAGGGAAGUGAAAAGGUAAUUAAGACGGGGGGAUGUGGAAUAUGCGUCAACUCCCAUUCCCUUUCCAUUGAUUUGCCAAACAAGCUGGGUACAUUCCGCCCGCUGUAUGUCCACGGCCUCAACGUCUUGGGCUCGGGCGUUUCUGCUUCUGGACAUGGCAGGGACAUGGCAGAAAAGCUGCAUGCACGUUGCUGUGUGUUUAUCUAAGUAUGCAUUUUUUAGACAUGUAUUGAGUAUUCAUUAAUACACUGCAGAGGUACAUCAACAAAGCCAAUGUAACAAAUAAUAUUCGUACUUCCAUAGUGAGAAGUUUGUACCAACUUUAUGUUUCUUACUACAGAAAUGCAUACAUAGAUAUGAUCCUAACAUAGAUAAUAAAUAUUUGACUGGAAUUUAGUAUAAGGAUUAAUGCAGCUUUAGAGUGGUUGCAGAUUGGUUUAUUGAUAUCUAAUAACAUUUCACUUUUAGAUAGUUUACCUCAUAUAUUUUCUGCAUUGUUGCAAAUGGUCCUGAGGUUUGAGCAUAAGAGUGCUUAGAGUAUAAAGAUCAAUAGAUGGCGAGGGAUCCAACAUCAGAGGUACAUGAAGUUACAAGUCUACCCCCUUUUCAUGUGACAAAAUUUUUAGGUGAAUUAUCUGUUGCACCAAUUUUGUCAAGAAAUCCAAAUUAUUGAUUUGAGUAGAACAAGAAAUAUUUCUCACAAUUGCAUUUUCAAUCUAAACAACAAAUGUGUUUAAGUUAUAAGCUAUAUUCAAUAUUUAUCUUGCGUGUACAUGAUUGACUCUUCCUAGACUUGGACCAACAAUUUUAUUCUUAGCUUCUUAGAUGCAAUACAUAUCAAUAUAUAGAUCAGUUUAUCAACACCUUAGUUGCAAAGGAGUUCUAAUUAUUCAUUAAAUACAUGUUUCUUGAAUAAAUAUUCAUUUUUGCAUGACGGAUGGCAUGUCAGAUUAGUUGCUACUGUUUUGGUACCGUCAUUUAUAUUUUCCUACACAAUCUAGAUUUUAUACCCCAGAUCAGCUACAUCAUAUUCUGUUAUUUUAUUGACAGGGAGCUUUGGUAAGCUUAUUAUGCCUUGAUAUUAUUUUUCCCCUGAAAUGCUGGAAUCAUGUGCAACACUCUAUCAACUCAGUCAAAAAAAAAAAACUGCAUAUCUAGCAACUGUCAAGCUAUAGGUGUAACUUCAGUAUACCUAUAUGAUCUGUCGUGCACCUUUCAUUCUUUUGUACUAAAGAAUUCUACAAGGAUUUGGCCAUCAUCAUUGGUUUAAGUGUGCUCAUCUUGGAUCUCUUCCCGUGUUCACAAAAUGUUUGUUUCAUUUUUUCUUUACCUCGAAUUUGUUUGGAUCUCUUCCCGUGUUCAAAAAAAGUGGGCAAUAACUUAAGGCGUUGGUAAAAAUAUUUUCUUAUAUGUUUGUGUUCUAUCUUUAGCGACUCUUUAUAUUUCACAGUGAUGGAAACGGUGGGUGUGAAAUGGGAGAGGGUUCUUAUAUAUUUAUGUGGUUCAACCACCUUUAAUAUUUCACUGUGGCGACAACGUGUGUAGCAGGAGUGGGUGCCGGAGGAGGUAGUGACCCCAGGGAGUAGUGGCCGUCCUAGGUGGCUUGGCAUCAUCGCCGUAAGACCCGACUUAUCUUCCAUGUGUGAUGGUGGUUGGGGUAGAAGUGUUGUCAAGCGAAUGAGUCGCAUCAGGUACAGGAUAUGCUAUACCCUGGACCAUAAUUUAUGAAUGUGAUGAGAGGUCCUGUAAGAAUACUUUCAAAACUGCAUUAGCGUGGUCUACUAAUCCAUACUUGAUACACUGUAUUGUGUCUUUUUCUACACACUUUGUUUCCAACUAUCAUGUAUAAUCACUUCUCAGUUUAGAUUUUGUGUAAUCUAUCAUAAAGCAGAUGCAUCCAUUAUAUUACAGUUUGGUAGGUGAUUCACAAUCGGCUCUACAAACAAAAUAUAUAUAUGGUCCAGGGUCCUUCGGAUUGUUCAAAUGUAUCUCAAUGCAUGGUUACGACAGAAAAUUGUAUUGUACCUAUUGUACACUUUCUUGACAACAUUGAAUCUGUAUCUCUGCUCAAUUGCAUAUUUUCAUAAGGUAUUAUGUGCUUAAAAGAAAAUGGUGGAAAGUAGCGGCAUAGUGUGAAUUAUGCUUUUUACGCUCUACAUAGCUUUGAUGGAUUUCAGAAUCUCAGAAAAUGAAAUGACUAGAGUAGUAGGUCAAAUUCUGAUGCUUGAUCUGUAUCCCCAUUGUCCUCUCUAUUAUAAGAUCCUUUGUAUAUAAGCUUCUAAAAUUUAGUAUAAGUAAUAAGUAUAUCCUGCAUUUAGUGGUUUAGCUUGAAUUCAGAUGUUAUAGAACUCUUUUGUGGCUUUUAAAUUCCAACAAGUUCCAAUCAUCGAUAUAGUAGCACCUAGCAAUCCUACUGUGUGGUUUUCAUAAUCUAGCUCUGGUGACCUCAUUUUUUUUACCUUCAUCAAGCAACAUGUUAGUUGGUUGUGGAAUUGAACUUCUUUUCAUAUUUUUGUGGAAUUGAACUUGGUGUGUUACCUUUAGCUUUUUUAAGCUUUCUUAUCAAUGUACCUUUUUUAUUUGGUAGAAAAACAAUGGUUCUUGAGAAUACAAAUAUCAUGUACAGAUGUGUCCAAGAAGUAAAAAGAAUGUGCUCUGAAAGGUGCAGAUGGCCACGAAGAGACCACCGAAAAGUGCUGAUCGAUAUCCACAUGAUACUGGGCAUAACUGAAAAAGUAGCAAGUGUGCAACAACAGACUGAGGCAAGCACUGAAGCAACAUUGUGCAGGAUGUAUAUUAGCCAGGUAAGGUGUUCCAAAGGUUGUGCUAUUUUCUGGAAGUUUUGGCCAGCACAGCCAGAAGAGAGAUAAAAAUGGAACAAGUUGACACGUGAAACUAGCACUCAGGCAUAUUAUACACCUUGAAGAUUGUUCCAGUGUAGAGAUGGGCUGGACUUAUGAUGCAUUUCUCGAUAAAUUACAAUGCUGACUUAGAACAAAGCAGAAGUACACUAUCGUGUCCAUGGCCGUGGCGAGCAAGAGCUGCUUGAAGUAUAACAAAGCCCUGCAUCUAUAAACCUUGCAAACAUCACACAAUCUUUGGGUAGUGCUUACGGAACAAAGCAAACCCUUCAAUGCAUUUUUUUUACUUUUAGGUAUAUGUUCCUCUGGUUUAGGAAAAGGAUAACAAUUUAGAGACAUAGUUUCAAAAGAUACUAUUUUUAUUCGAUCUCUCAAUUGGAGUUUGUACGAAUGUGCUACCUUUGCUGAUUACCAUGUGAAUUAUACUUAAAUGUAACCAGCUUGGCGCGUUGGCAAUUUUA